GCUAGUUUGCUUGAGACGUUAAGGGGAAGACUUAAGACCUUUUGCACAAAAGUGCGCAUGGGUUCAAACCCCAUAGCCAACA
rnacentral:tRNA from 1 species